AUGGCUUAGCUGGGCUGACAGAUUGUCAGCGAUGGUGGUGGAUCUCAUCUGAGACUCAGAAUUCUCUUCCAAGUACAAACUGGCAGAAUUUAUCUUUGUGUAGUUUUAACAUCUAUGGCAGCUUGCCUCUCUUAAGACAGCAGGAAACCCUGCUCUUAAAGACAAAGAAGACCAAUUUGGGAGAACACCACUUAUGUAUUGUGUGUUGGCAGACAGACUGGACUGUGCAGAUGCUCUUCUAAAAGCAGGAGCAGAUAUCAAUAAAACUGACCAUAGCCGGAGAACAGCCCUCCACCUUGCAGCUCAAAAGUGAGAAGUCAAAUUACUUUGAAGAGGAGACUGUGGCUGUUUGUUACCUGACUGGUGGAACUGUGCAGUGAACAAAUAAAUGUCAGAGGCAGACACCCAGGCUUCUGGGUGUCUACAAAAGUAUUCUGUAAACGUGGGUGUAAUAACAGUCAAUAAAACACGGAUAACUGGAA